AUUGAACGCUGGCGGCAUGCCUUACACAUGCAAGCCGAACGGCAGCACGGGGGCAACCCUGGUGGCGAGUGGCGAACGGGUGAGUAAUGCAUCGGAACGUACCUUUCAGUGGGGGAUAACGUAGCGAAAGUUACGCUAAUACCGCAUAUUCUGUGAGCAGGAAAGCAGGGGAUCGCAAGACCUUGCGCUGAUUGAGCGGCCGAUGUCAGAUUAGCUAGUUGGUGCGGUAAAGGCUCACCAAGGCGACGAUCUGUAGCGGGUCUGAGAGGAUGAUCCGCCACACUGGAACUGAGACACGGUCCAGACUCCUACGGGAGGCAGCAGUGGGGAAUUUUGGAAAAUGGGGGCAACCCUGAUCCAGACAUGCCGCGUGAGUGAAGAAGGCCUUCGGGUUGUAAAGCUCUUUCGGCCGGGAAGAAAUCGCACGGGCUAAUACCCUGUGUGGAUGACGGUACCGGAAUAAGAAGCACCGGCUAACUACGUGCCAGCCGCCGCAGUAAUAC
rnacentral:rRNA from 1 species